GAGCUGCCCUAACCGUCGGCCGUGACGGUUCCAUCCUCUCCCGCGUGCCUAAAGCCGAGACCAAGAGAAGCCGACAUUUCUCUUCUCCUUCUUCCUCCCCGAGCCGGUACCACUACCUUCUUCCCUUUCCUUCUCUUGUGCCCUAGCACCCCUCUUCCUCUUCUCCUCUCCGACACCGAUUCCUCCAGCGCCGAUGGUCGAAGCGCCUCUUGAAGUUCAACCGAUGGCCGUCUCGAGCAUCCCGGAGUUUCUUCUCCUUUGACUACCACCCGAUCCUAUCCCUUCGGCAACCCAAGCUUCUUCCUCCCGAAGCUCGUGACAUUUGCCGAUCUUGCUGUGCUCAAGUAGCAAAGGACCGUGCCCUAGAUCCCGAUUUGUGGUCGCUACCGCACGGAGCAGUGCCGACCAUUGUUGGAGAUUUUGUGCUUCCGUGCCCUAGCCUCGGUCCACUGCCACCUCUGCACGCGUUUGGUUUCGGACAAGAGCAAGGAGCAAGGAGUCGAUGCCCUCUUCCCGAUCCAAGCCGCCAUCUUCGAUCUGUUGACGUUAGUAGGCUGUGGUUUCUGCCAGCGGCUAGAUUUGGUGACAUUGCCGGCAGAGAUUUGGCUGCCGAUCAUUAGAGAGGAAGGGAUUUUUGGCACAGAAAUGGGUUUCAGCGAUGAACUCCUUGGGUCGUAUUCCACCAGUAGUAACAAGGCUGUGAAUAGAGGACUUUGACGCGAGACGAGCAUCUCGACGUUGGAUUUGGAC